rnacentral:rRNA from 1 species
UACCAGCACCCCGAGUGGUCGGGACGUUUUUAUUGGGCCUAAAGCAUCCGUAGCCGGUUCUACAAGUCUUCCGUUAAAUCCACCUGCUUAACAGAUGGGCUGCGGAAGAUACUAUAGAGCUAGGAGGCGGGAGAGGCAAGCGGUACUCGAUGGGUAGGGGUAAAAUCCGUUGAUCCAUUGAAGACCACCAGUGGCGAAGGCGGCUUGCCAGAACGCGCUCGACGGUGAGGGAUGAAAGCUGGGGGAGCAACCGGG